UCGAGCAUAUUGUCUGGUCGUGUGAGGUCCAUCUUGUCGCCAGAACGAAUUUAUUAGACUCCCUUCGGGCCCGAGGAAAACCACCUAACGUUCCAGUGAGAGACGUGCUAGCUGUGCUAGACUUGGACUACAUGUUCGAAAUUUACCUUUUUCUAAAAGCUAUCGAUCUCCGUCUAUAAUUCUUUUUAUUUUCAUAUUUCCCUUUCUAUCAUCUUUUUCUUUAAACUCAAAGUGUUAAGCUAAGCAAACAAUUGUAAAAACAAAAACGAGUUUGGCUCCUUAAAACCUGAAGGUAUGAGCCGUUUCAAAUAAACAAUUAUAUAUAUAUAAAAAAAAAAAAACAAACCAGAGAAAACUUGCGAAAUUCUGCUGAAUAUUUUUUCAUCGGCUGCUGGACUGUUCAUGUGAAAGAGAAAAUUUUACCGAGGUAUUCGAAAUUAAAGUAUGCGGCAAGCAAAACAACCGUUUUUGUCAUUUCUAAAUCCCAAACUUUGUUUUCUUUCAGGAAAAAUGAUGGGCUCGAAAUGGCAGAUGCGAUCGGAAAAACUUCCGGGGAUAGGCUGGCUAGAGGUUCGGAUGAUAGCCAAUAUUUUUGAAAAGUGGAUUGUGUGCCUUCUUCGCCAGGAGAGCGUUUUCGAGUCUUAUCGGAUAAACUUUAAACAGAUUCGAGAUGAUGCUGUUGCCCGGGGAACUGUAAGAAGUCCCGUUCGGUGGCUGCUGACCGAACCGUUCGUUACCCAGAACCUACUGACCGAAUUUCUCAGGGUAUUGCCGAAAACGACUGAGGAAAUCGAACAUACUUCCUUGGAGACAAGUUGAUGUAGCUGUGGUGAUGGCCAACGACCGGUGUAGAAAAAACUGAUUUAAGAAGAGCGACCGUUGGACUGCUUUUUCCUAAUGAAAUACAGAUUCUUCCCCGAGAGACAGUGCAGUGGAGUGGAGUUCUGGGCUCCUAUACAGUAGCUCGUUUCCGUUUGUGUCAUAUCAGUCAAAUUGUUCAAUCGUUUACGUUUGGGAGCGACAUUUUAGUCAUGGGAUGUAAAAUCUAGUGUUGCGAGCAUCCAAUCACAGUUCAUUUCAGGCGAGGCUAUAAAUUCAGAAAAAAUAUUGCUCAAGAUUAAUGGCUUCCUUUGAAUGAUGUUAACAUAUAGCACUAGAUUUAGAUAUAAAAAAGAUGUGGCGAUACUCUCCCAAUUGAAUCUUAGAUGAGCAUACUGGAACUAGAACACUUGAACUUGAAAGUCACCAGCUUUUUCAUCACAGGUUAAAAAAAUAUAAACUUCCCUGAGACCGAGUUGGAAAUAUUGUUUAUAUCGAGCGAACUAGUACUGGUUCGAAGAUGCUAUUCAUCAUAAGUUAUAUAGGUCCAUGAGUGAGUUGCGAUUUCAUCAAUUAUAAGUUGCCGUGUUCUUCUGUUCAUUAUUUGAAAGGUUCCCACCGUUUAGCCUAAUCAUGAGGAUGUAGUAUAAUCAGAAGGAGAAACAAAAUUCUGACCGAUGUUUUAUUGAUGACAUCGCGGAAAUGAUCCAGUGGUGAACCAGUUAUGGGAGCUCUUCCGAGAGAAGCUUUUAGGAUAUUUGUAAGGUUAAGCAAUUGUAAUUUUUUUCUCAAAUAAAAUGUUCUUAUAAAAGUUUAAUCAGAUUUUGGUUUUUAAUUUGUUUUUCUAAUUGGAAUUUAAAUUACGUGCGAUUCCUUUUUGGAACUCUCCGAUAAUCGUAUUUAAAUCACAAUACGAUACAUAACAUGCUACUUACAGAGACUCGCAAAAUCGUUUUACGCUCCACAUCGUACAAGAUUACAUUACACCUCGCAUAAAGUGUCGCUUAAACAGUCAAUCGAACGUAAAAUUACUCCACAUCGUAUAAGAGUACAGCGCACAUUCUAUAGAGUGUAACUUAAGUUGUCAAUCGAUGUUCAAUUCUCUGAACAUCGUAUAAGACUGUAACACACCUCACAUAAAGGGUGACUUAAAUCGCCAAUUUAUCAUCAGAUCGCUUCAAGUCGUAAAAGGGUAAAACACACAUCGCAUAAAGUGUGGUUGGAACUGUCGAUCAUCCCAUCAUCGUAAAUGAAUAUGAAUCGAAUCCUUUAAUGUAACGUACAACAUGCCGCCAAUGCGACAUAAAGUACCAAAGUAUUUCGGACAUCGUUAAUAGCAUCAUAUAUGAUGUUGUCGAAGUCGUAAAUCAGAAAAUUAGGAAAACAUUUACGUAUAUCGCCUCCACUUUUGGUAGGUAUAUGCUUUUUCCUAACGUCAUGUACGAUGAUUAUUGUCGACAUAGAUGUACGUAUAUCUUUUAAUAUACCUACCAAAUUGUUGGCUGGGUCGAGCCCAUUUGCCCUAACUAGAGAAGUUCCAUGAAAGGUCUGUCGUAUUUUGCAAAAUUUAAAAUUUCACUUUUCUGAUUCACAUUUUUUUAAUAAUCAAGGAACCGGCGCAGCUUUCCAGUUCGUUGCAUUUUCAGAAACAUAGCAAAGGACACUUCAUCUCUAUCAGAAUUAAAACUGUGAUCGGAGCUGCUGCUGCAGCUUUCAAUUAAGCAGUAAUCAGUCACCAAAUCCAAGCCCCGUGAACCCUUAGACAAAUCAAUCUUUCUCCCUGUCUUGAUGACGAAUGCAAAUCGUGAAAAGGAUUGAACUAAAUCAGCUGAUCGAAGUAAGAAACAAUACAACAGAUAUGGCAACGAUGGCUCACAAAAAAUCGGCUCAAGUAUCAAUUCUUGAAAAUAAAACUAUCCAGUUGGCCGAGAUAUGAUGCGGUUCCAGUUUAGAAUAUUUCCUUCCCACAUCUUUCGGAAGUCGCAAGAAGAUGUCCCAGGAAGAAGAAGAUGUCAUUGGAAUUAAAAAUGCUCAGUGGUUGCUCGAAUUGUCAGAUGCUUUGCGUUCUGUUGCAUCCAGCUUAAUCCUGCAGCCGGUGUAGAUUCAAUCAUACCAAUUCGAAUGCAAGGCAAUCGCAUGAAUGUAGAAACUUAAAACGGAACGACCGAAACAACACGAACAACAUUGGUGGAAAUUUGUAACCUGCUUCCACUUAUAAACAAAAACUCGUCUUAGUAGCAAAUACAAGUAGUUACGGUCCAAGAAGAACCCGGAACAACAGAGACCCGGUGGCCAAAGAGUAAGCGUUAGUUUUUUUUCUAAACUAGA